CAAGUCGAGCGCGAAUGGAGCAAUCCUAGUAGAGCGGCGCAGGGGUGCGUAACACUUGGAUAAUCUGCCUGGGUGGCUGGGAUAACCAGUCAAAAGAUUGGCUAAUACCGGAUAAGCCCCCGGGAGCUUCGGCUCUUGAGGGAAAAGGUGGCCUCUGUAUACAAGCUAUCACAUCCAGAUGAGUCCGCGGCCCAUCAGCUAGUUGGCGGGGUAAUGGCCCACCAAGGCAACGACGGGUAGCUGGUCUGAGAGGACGAUCAGCCACACUGGAACUGAUACACGGUCCAGACUCCUACGGGAGGCAGCAGUGGGGAAUUUUGCGCAAUGGGCGAAAGCCUGACGCAGCAACGCCGCGUGUGUGAUGAAGGUCUUCGGAUUGUAAAGCACUUUCGACCGGGACGAAAACCCGUUGGCUAACAUCCAACGGCUUGACGGUACCGGGAGAAGAAGCACCGGCUAACUCUGUGCCAGCAGCCGCGGUAAUACAGAGGGUGCAAGCGUUGUUCGGAAUUAUUGGGCGUAAAGCGCGUGUAGGCGGCUUUGCAAGUCGGGUGUGAAAGCCCUCAGCUCAACUGAGGAAGUGCGCCCGAAACUGCAGAGCUUGAGUGCCG
rnacentral:rRNA from 1 species